rnacentral:lncRNA from 1 species
AGUUAAAAUAAAACUCAAGUCAUAUGUUUUGUGAGAAUAGCAGGAUGUGGGGGAAGAGACCUACUCUGUGCAUUUAAGCGUCAGGCACAUUGGGCAAGGAAAAUAUAUUGGUCCUGCGGUGUGUUGUUGAUUAAAGACCCAUUAUGUGGUCUUCCAAAGCCCUUCUGCUAUGGUUCUUUUCUGAAGCAGGGUGCGUGCAGAGCCUUUUCC